CGGCGAUGCGUCCUGGUCGGAUGC
rnacentral:siRNA from 1 species